AAGACAUGCAUUUUGGCAGCCACGUUCCCCUGGCCAGCCCAGUUUUGUUUCAUUUGGUCAUGUUCUCUGGCCUGCAGUUUACAGGGAGCACUUUAUGUGUGACUAGUGUAUGUUUUGUUCAUGCUUCAGUUUGUGUUCUAGUGUUGAUUUAUUUAUUGAGUGUUCCAAGCAUGAUAAAACAAAACAGAGGACUUCAUUCACCAUCCUUUUUUUAAAUAGGAAACUUGCACAGAAUCUUGUCCCUGGAAAGUGGUCAGAAAAAACUGGAAGUGAUUUAAAGGGAGUUCCUGUGCAAGAUUAUGGGAAUGACUGUGGUAUCUUCAUGAUCAUGUAAAUCUGGUAUAUGGCAAUGGAGGCUUAUUUUGAUUUCACUGUGGAGGACAUGCCAGAUCUUAGAAGGUGGUGGUGUAUAAUUCUGAUGGAGAACUUUCAUCUAGAAGGUCACGGGUGAAGAUUUGCACAUUGGACUGAAGACGGGAGACAAACUCUUAAGGGAACUUUCACACCAGUCUUCCGCAUACCAAGGAAGAGAAAAUGUCCAGACCCCACAAAGCAUGACAAGCCAACCAAGAGAAUCCAGACCUAAAAAACAUGAUGAAAUGGGCAUAACACAGAAAUGGGUACAUCUACUCUCUGUACAGAUAAAUGAAUAGUUCCCCGUCAUGUCAUCAUUGUGUAUG